GACGAACGCUGGCGGCGUGCUUAACACAUGCAAGUCGAACGGUAAGGCCCUUUCGGGGGUACACGAGUGGCGAACGGGUGAGUAACACGUGGGUGAUCUGCCCUGCACUUUGGGAUAAGCCUGGGAAACUGGGUCUAAUACCGGAUAGGACUACGCGAUGCAUGUCGUGUGGUGGAAAGCUUUUGCGGUGUGGGAUGGGCCCGCGGCCUAUCAGCUUGUUGGUGGGGUGAUGGCCUACCAAGGCGACGACGGGUAGCCGGCCUGAGAGGGUGUCCGGCCACACUGGGACUGAGAUACGGCCCAGACUCCUACGGGAGGCAGCAGUGGGGAAUAUUGCACAAUGGGCGCAAGCCUGAUGCAGCGACGCCGCGUGGGGGAUGACGGCCUUCGGGUUGUAAACCCCUUUCAGCACAGACGAAGCGUAAGUGACGGUAUGUGCAGAAGAAGCACCGGCCAACUACG
rnacentral:rRNA from 1 species